AAACCGCAAGCCCUUUGAAAACACUAGCCGCUUUUCCACAAAACAAAAGGAAAGAAAAAAAACAAAAACCCUAAAACCCAAUCCGUAUUUCCCAAUCAAAAUUCAGACUCACUCAGACUAGCGAUAUUUCGUUGCACCUUUAAACACACAAAUAGGACUUGCAUGUUUCAACCUAUCAAACAGACGAAAAAUAAAACUUCUGCAACAGUGAAAACCUCUGCGACGGUGGAAAUCUCUGUUCGUUCUCUACAACAGACAAUUUAGAAGCUAACCCAUCUCUGCUCUUCAACAACAAACGAUUCAGAAGGUAGACAUUUUCCCCCUUUAUUGUUUUUUCUAUUCAGUUGCCGUUUCUAGGGUUUCCAGGAAAAAAAAAGGGGUGUAGUCGAAGUAUAAAUAGACGAAAAGUAAAACCUCUGCAACUUGAAAACCUCUGCAACGGUGGAAACCUCUGUUCGUUCUCUGCAACAGACGAUUUAGAAACUAUCCCGUCUCUGCUCUUCAACAACAAACAAUUCAGAAGGUUUAUCAUCUCUGUUUUGGAUUUUAAGACCUUUUUUUUACUAUUCAAGAAGAAUUGCUGAAUUAAAUAAAGAGGUUAGUAUUGCCAAAUUUCCCCAUUGUUACUUUUGUUUAGAUUAGUAUCUUUUUAUCAUUUGACUCUUAAAACAGAUGCUAAGCCCAA